AGAUGUGGUUAAGUCCCGCAACGAGCGCAACCCUCGACCUUAGUUGCCAGCAUUCAGUUGGGCACUCUAAGGUGACUGCCGGCUAAAAGUCGGAGGAAGGUGGGGAUGACGUCAAAUCAUCAUGCCCCUUAUGACCUGGGCUACACACGUGCUACAAUGGGCGGUACAAAGGGUCGCGAACCCGCGAGGGGGAGCCAAUCCCAAAAAGCCGCUCUCAGUUCGGAUUGCAGGCUGCAACUCGCCUGCAUGAAGCCGGAAUCGCUAGUAAUCGCGGAUCAGCAUGCCGCGGUGAAUACGUUCCCGGGCCUU
rnacentral:rRNA from 1 species